UACGUAGGGGGCUAGCGUUGUCCGGAUUUAUUGGGCGUAAAGAGCUCGUAGGUGGUUCGGUAAGUCGGAUGUGAAAUCUCCAGGCUCAACCUGGAGGGGUCAUUCGAUACUGCCGUGACUAGAGUUCGGUAGAGGAGAGUGGAAUUCCCGGUGUAGCGGUGAAAUGCGCAGAUAUCGGGAAGAACACCCGUGGCUAAGGCGGCUCUCUAGUACGGUACUGACGCUGAGACGCGAAAGCGUGGGGAGCGAACAGG
rnacentral:rRNA from 1 species